AUUGAGACAAGUUUAAAAAUACAUGAAGGGAUACUUGGGGCAAGAUUUGUAAUAUAACCUCCAGACUGGAAAUGGUUUGACUCAGUGGACUCAAACAGAAUAAGAUGAAGUGCUUUUAAGUUAUUUUUCAGGUUUAUUAAUCUUUCCGAGAUAAGGGACUGUAUGUGGAAACAGAGCCAUCCGGAAAACUAUGAAGAAAUAUUUCAGCCAUUCAAAAGGAAACAAAGUAGAAGCAUUACAUGUAAACAGCAUACGCUUGGGGAAGUCAUAUGACUGAGAAUUGGAUAGAAGACUUUGUGGUGUUGACAAGUAUUUAAAUGCCCUAGGCCUUUAAGGAAAUUCUACUGAAAUCAACAUAAGUGAGGUUUUUGUGCUGAUGAAUUUAGUUAAUUCUAACUUCUUACACAGGCUGUCAUUUAGUUCCGGUGCUGUUGCAGACAUUAAGGAUACUGAUACUCAUUUCAUCAUACUCAGAUCACUGAGAUACCUACAUUAUGAAUAAGCAAGGAGACAGGAAGGAAGCCAAGAAAAGAAAGUGAAGAUUCUGAAGUAAAUGGGUACUUGCUUUGACUAAGAUCGAAACCCACCUCUCCCCAGAGAAUAUUAGAAGAGGGCAUGGAAGACAAGCAUUGGAAAAGUAGAAUGUUUGUGCUUUUCUUUCUGGUGAACUGCAUUAAAAAUUCAGCAAAAGGGGGAUCACUUUACAUUACUCUUCUUGUUUAGCAUGUAUCGACUGACAGGUGCUGUAAACAUACAUAGACAAACAUGGUCCUAUGCUAGCAGUGGUCCAGUGACUGAGGGAAGACAGUGUUUAAUCUCCCAAAGUGAUCACACUGAGGACUUUGCAGACACACUAUGCUGAGAUUGCAGAAGAGGUCAUAAAUACUUUAUUUCCCAUAAAAUGACAGGAGCUUGCCUUUCAACUUUGAUUCUCAAAAAAUCCAUCUGGAGAGAUGGUGUUGUUCUGGCAAUAAGUUACUAAGUUAGAGCAAUCCUUUUUUGAUUCCAAGCACUUGACUGUAACGCUUGCUGGUACUUUGGAAAUAUCGGUAGCAGAAAGCACCCAAGAGGCACCUCAGUCUACUGCAUGUCUUGCUUUGCUGGAGGUAAAAGCAGCAAUCCGCAUGCCUUUGAUUUCUCUAAGGGUAGAACCUCAGCAAUCAAGGAGAGAGAACUGACCUUGGCUUUGAGAUCAGAACCAGUAUUUAAAACAUUGACUCAUUUGUGUUUUAGAGAUGUCAGGGUAAAUAAAUUAUAAAUGUUUAUAUUGAAGACUAAGAGGCUCCUUUUCCUACACUAUAGGCAGUGAUUUGGCUGAGAUUGUAUCAUUCUGUGAUACUACCACAACUACCUUUUUUCUCACUUGAAUUGUACUUUUGGCUGUCAUUUGCGCUUUUGAAUAAAGGUUUACAUUAG